AACGAACGCUGGCGGCAUGCCUAACACAUGCAAGUCGAACGAGACCUUCGGGUCUAGUGGCGCACGGGUGCGUAACGCGUGGGAACCUGCCCUUAGGUUCGGAAUAACUCCCCGAAAGGGGUGCUAAUACCGGAUAAUGUCUUCGGACCAAAGAUUUAUCGCCUUUGGAUGGGCCCGCGUUGGAUUAGCUAGUUGGUAGGGUAAAAGCCUACCAAGGCGACGAUCCAUAGCUGGUCUGAGAGGAUGAUCAGCCACACUGGGACUGAGACACGGCCCAGACUCCUACGGAAUGCAGCAGUGUGGAAUAUUGGAAUAUUAGCGAUGGGCUGAUCCAUCCAUGCCGCGUGAAUGAUGAAGGCCUUAGGGUUGUAAAGCUCUUUUACCCGGGAUGAUAAUGACAGUACCGGGAGAAUAAGCUCCGGCUAACUCCGUG
rnacentral:rRNA from 1 species